rnacentral:rRNA from 1 species
GGAGGAAAAGAAAAUAACAAUGAUUUCCCUAGUAACGGCGAGUGAAGAGGAAAGAGCUCAAAGUUGGAACCUGUUUGGCCUAGCUAAACUGGAUUGUAAACUGUAGAAGUGUUUUCCAGGCAAUCCGAAUUGAAAAGUCCUUUGGAACAGGGCAUCAUAGAGGGUGAGAAUCCCGUCUUUGAUUCGAGAUAAUUUUGUCUUUAUGCGAUACACUUUCAAAGAGUCAGGUUGUUUGGGAAUGCAGCCUAAAUUGGGUGGUAAAUCUCACCUAAAGCUAAAUAUUGGCGAGAAACCGAUAGCGAACAAGUACCGUGAGGGAAAGAUGAAAAGAACUUUGAAAAGAGAGUUAAACAGUAUGUGAAAUUGUUAAAAGGGAACCGUUUGGAGCCAGAUUGGCUUGUCUGUAAUCAUUCUAGGCUUCGUGCCUGGAUGCACUUGCAGGCUUGAUGCCUGCCAACGACAAUUUUGUUUGGGUGUAAAAACUAUUGGAAAUGUGGCCAAUAUUUAUUUAUUGGUGUUAUAGUCCUUUAGAAAAUAGCCUGGAUGGGAUUGAGGAACG